UUACCUCUUUGUUUCCAUUUCUUUUCCAUUCGGCCGAGAGAGCUUUGUUUGAAAAAAAAAAAUUCGUCGACGAGGUUUUUUGGCUAAGCAAUGCUUCUAUCCUCUUCCUUUCAUUGUCCUGAGCUUGAUGGUGAAACAUCUUCCAAGGGGAAGGAAACUGCUGACCAGUGAGCACGCCUCGAGGCGAGAUGACGCAUUCAACUGCGAUGUUGGACUGGGUUGUGCUGGACAGGCAGUAGAGUGAUCUUCCUUUUUUUUUCCUUGUUUAGGUUAGUGCGGUGUGCAUGUAAACUUUAUGGAUCCACUAGACUUAAGUAUUGUAUACUGUUUUUGUAGCUAUACUUUUUGGUUGUAUGUGGAACCUUGGCGAGUCCUGUUAUGGACCUUGUACC